rnacentral:tRNA from 1 species
GGAUAUAGCUCAGUUGGUAGAGCCCCGGAUUGUGGUUCCGGUUGUCGUGGGUUCGAGCCCCUCUAUC